GGGUGCAGCAAGUUGGUCGUGCCACUGGUAUGUACUAGCUUUACUUGAUUCCUCCUUCUUGCAGAACCGUAAUGCCAUUAAUUUGGUGUUGCGGGGAAACAGGACUGUUACUUUGAAAAAAUUAGAGUGUUUAAAGCAGGCUAACGCUUGAAUACAUUAGCAUGGAAUAAUGAAAUAGGACGUUCGAUCCUAUUUUGUUGGUUUCUAGGAUUGACGUAAUGAUUAAUAGGGAUAGUUGGGC
rnacentral:rRNA from 1 species